ACACGUAGGGGGCGAGCGUUGUUCGGAAUCAUUGGGCGUAAAGGGCGUGCAGGCGGUCCUGCAAGUCCGGCGUGAAAGACCCCGGCCCAACCGGGGGGACGCGCUGGAAACUGCGGGGCUUGAGUACAGGAGGGGAUGCCGGAAUUCCAGGUGUAGGGGUGAAAUCUGUAGAUAUCUGGAAGAACACCAAUGGCGAAGGCGGGCAUCUGGCCAUGUACUGACGCUGAGACGCGAAGGUGCGGGGAGCAAACAGGUUUAGAUACCCUGGUAGUCUGCACAGUAAACGAUGUGCACCAGGUGGCGGGGGGUCGACCCUCGGUACCGUAGCUAACGCAUUAAGUGCACCGCCUGGGGAGUAUGCUCGCAAGGGUGAAACUCAAAUGAAUUGGCGGGG
rnacentral:rRNA from 1 species